AUUGAACGCUGGCGGCAUGCCUUACACAUGCAAGUCGAACGGCAGCACGGGAGCAAUCCUGGUGGCGAGUGGCGAACGGGUGAGUAAUAUAUCGGAACCUGCCCUCAGGAGGGGGAUAACGGUUGGAAACGGCCGCUAAUACCCCAUAUGCCGAGAGGUGAAAUGAAUUUCGCCUGAGGAUGGGCCCGCGUCUGAUUAGCUAGUUGGUGGGGUAAAGGCCUACCAAGGCGACGAUCAGUAGCUGGUCUGAGAGGAUGAUCAGCCACACUGGGACUGAGACACGGCCCAGACUCCUACGGGAGGCAGCAGUGGGGAAUUUUCCGCAAUGGGCGAAAGCCUGACGGAGCAACGCCGCGUGAGGGAUGAAGGCCUCUGGGCUGUAAACCUCUUUUCUCAAGGAAGAAGAACUGACGGUACUUGAGGAAUAAGCCACGGCUAAUUCCGUG
rnacentral:rRNA from 1 species